rnacentral:rRNA from 2 species
GCCAUGGGCAGGUUGAAGGUUGGGUAACACUAACUGGAGGACCGAACCGACUAAUGUUGAAAAAUUAGCGGAUGACCUGUGGCUGGGGGUGAAAGGCCAAUCAAACCGGGAGAUAGCUGGUUCUCCCCGAAAGCUAUUUAGGUAGCGCCUCGUGAAUUCAUCUCCGGGGGUAGAGCACUGUUUCGGCUAGGGGGCCAUCCCGGCUUACCAACCCGAUGCAAACUGCGAAUACCGGAGAAUGUUAUCACGGGAGACACACGGCGGGUGCUAACGUCCGUCGUGAAGAGGGAAACAACCCAGACCGCCAGCUAAGGUCCCAAAGUCAUGGUUAAGUGGGAAACGAUGUGGGAAGGCCCAGACAGCCAGGAUGUUGGCUUAGAAGCAGCCAUCAUUUAAAGAAAGCGUAAUAGCUCACUGGUCGAGUCGGCCUGCGCGGAAGAUGUAACGGGGCUAAACCAUG